UACAGAGUGUGCGAGCGUUGCUCGGAAUUACUGGGCGUAAAGGGAGCGUAGGCGGACAUUUAAGUCAGGGGUGAAAUCCCAGAGCUCAACUCUGGAACUGCCUUUGAUACUGGGUGUCUUGAGUGUGAGAGAGGUAUGUGGAACUCCGAGUGUAGAGGUGAAAUUCGUAGAUAUUCGGAAGAACACCAGUGGCGAAGGCGACAUACUGGCUCAUUACUGACGCUGAGGCUCGAAAGCGUGGGGAGCAAACAGG
rnacentral:rRNA from 1 species